rnacentral:rRNA from 1 species
AAUUCGAUGCAACGCGAAAAACCUUACCCACCUUUGACAUGUAUGGAAUCCCGAAGAGAUUUGGGAGUGCUCGAAAGAGAGCCAUAACACAGGUGCUGCAUGGCUGUCGUCAGCUCGUGUCGUGAGAUGUUGGGUUAAGUCCCGCAACGAGCGCAACCCUUGCCAUUAGUUGCUACGAAAGGGCACUCUAAUGGGACUGCCGGUGACAAACCGGAGGAAGGUGGGGAUGACGUCAAGUCCUCAUGGCCCUUAUAGGUGGGGCUACACACGUCAUACAAUGGCUGGUACAGAGGGUUGCCAACCCGCGAGGGGGAGCCAAUCCCACAAAGCCAGUCGUAGUCCGGAUCGCAGUCUGCAACUCGACUGCGUGAAGUCGGAAUCGCUAGUAAUCGCGGAUCAGAAUGUCGCGGUGAAUACGUUCCCGGGUCUUGUACACACCGCCCGUCACACCAUGGGAGCGGGUCUCGCCAGAAGUGGGUAGCCUAACCGCAAGGAGGGCGCUUACCACGGCGGGGUUCGUGACUGGGGUGAAGUCGUAACAAGGUAGCCGUAUCGGAAGG